AGUGAACGCUGGCGGUAGGCCUAACACAUGCAAGUCGAACGGCAGCACAGGAGAGCUUGCUCUCUGGGUGGCGAGUGGCGGACGGGUGAGGAAUACAUCGGAAUCUACUUUUUCGUGGGGGAUAACGUAGGGAAACUUACGCUAAUACCGCAUACGACCUACGGGUGAAAGCAGGGGAUCUUCGGACCUUGCGCGAUUGAAUGAGCCGAUGUCGGAUUAGCUAGUUGGCGGGGUAAAGGCCCACCAAGGCGACGAUCCGUAGCUGGUCUGAGGGGAUAAUCAGCCACACUGGGACUGAGACACGGUCCAGACUCCGACGGGAGGCAGCAGUGGGGAAUAUUAGACAAUGGGCGCAAGCCUGAUCCAGCCAUACCGCGUGGGUGAAGAAGGCCUUCGGGUUGUAAAGCCCUUUUGUUGGGAAAGAAAUCCAGCUGGUUAAUACCCGGUUGGGAUGACGGUACCCAAAGAAUAAGCACCGGCUAACUUCGUGCCAGCCGCCGCCGUAA
rnacentral:rRNA from 1 species